rnacentral:rRNA from 1 species
UACGGGGGGGGCAAGCGUUGUUCGGAAUUACUGGGCGUAAAGGGCUCGUAGGCGGCCAACUAAGUCAUACGUGAAAUCCCUCGGCUUAACCGGGGAACUGCGUCUGAUACUGGAUGGCUUGAGUUCGGGAGAGGGAUGCGGAAUUCCAGGUGUAGCGGUGAAAUGCGUAGAGAUCCGGAAGAACACCGGUGGCGAAGGCGGCCUGCUGGGCAGUGGCUGACACUGAGGCGCGACAGCGUGGGGAGCAAACAGG